AACGAACGCUGGCGGCAUGCCUAACACAUGCAAGUCGAACGAGACCUUCGGGUCUAGUGGCGCACGGGUGCGUAACGCGUUGGAACCUGCCCUUAGGUUCGGAAUAACUCCCCGAAAGGGGUGCUAAUACCGGAUAAUGUCUUCGGACCAAAGAUUUAUCGCCUUUGGAUGGGCCCGCGUUGGAUUAGCUAGUUGGUAGGGUAAAAGCCUACCAAGGCGACGAUCCAUAGCUGGUCUGAGAGGAUGAUCAGCCACACUGGGACUGAGACACGGCCCAGACUCCUACGGGAGGCAGCAGUGGGGAAUAUUGGACAAUGGGCGAAAGCCUGAUCCAGCAAUGCCGCGUGAGUGAUGAAGGCCUUAGGGUUGUAAAGCUCUUUUACCCGGGAUGAUAAUGACAGUACCGGGAGAAUAAGCUCCGGCUAACUACGUG
rnacentral:rRNA from 1 species